GACGUAGGGCGCGAGCGUUGUCCGGAUUUAUUGGGCGUAAAGAGCUCGUAGGCGGUUCGGUAAGUCGGAUGUGAAAUCUCCACGCUCAACGUGGAGGGGCCAUUCGAUACUGCCGUGACUCGAGUCCGGUAGGGGAGUGUGGAAUUCCCGGUGUAGCGGUGAAAUGCGCAGAUAUCGGGAGGAACACCAAUGGCGAAGGCAGCUCGCUGGGACGGUACUGACGCUGAGGCGCGAAAGCGUGGGGAGCAACAGG
rnacentral:rRNA from 1 species